rnacentral:lncRNA from 1 species
CAGGUGGUUCAGGCACAUCUGGCAUGUGGUUCCAUUCUGUCUGGUAGGUGGUUCCAGCGUGUCUGGCACGUGGUUCUGGCACAUGUGAGAGGUGGUUCGGGCAUGCCCAACAGGUGAUUCCGGAGUGUCCGCCAAGUGGUUCUGGCAUAGAUGGCAGGUGAUUUUGGCAUGUCCGGCAGGUGGUUCUGGCGAGUCGAGAAGGUGGUUCCGGUGAGCUCGGCAGGUGCUUCCGGAGUCUCCGGCAUGUGGUUGUUGCACGUCAGAGAGGUGGUUCCGGCAUGCCUGGCACGUGAUUCCGGAGUGUCCAACAAGUGGUUCUGGCACAGCCGGCAUGUGAUUUUGGCAUGUCCGGUAAGUGGGUCCUGCGAGUCGAGCUGGCGGUUCCGGCAUGCUCGACAGGUGGUUCAGGUCUGUCCGGCAGGUGGUUCCAGUCUGUCCAGGACGUGGUUCCUGCAUGUCCGGAAUGUGGUUCUGCUACGUCUCAGAGGUGGUUCCGGCAUGCCAGGCAGGUGAUCAUGGAGAGUCCUCCAAGUGGUUCUGGCGUAGCCGGCAGGUGAUUUUGGCGUUUCCGGCAGGUGGUUCUGGUGAGUCGAGCAGGUGGUUCCGGCGUGCUCGGCUGGUGGUUCAGGCGGGUCCGGCAGGUAGUUCCGGUCUGUCCGGUUGGUGGUUCCGGCGUGUCCAGCACCUGGUUUUGGCGCGUCUCAGCAGUGGUUCUGGCAUGCCCGGCAGGUGAUUCCAGAGAGUCCAGCAAGUGGUUCUGGCAUAGCCGGCAUGUGAUUUGGGCGUGUCCGGAAGCUGCUUCCAGCGAGUCGAGCAGGUGGUUCCCGCGUGCUCGGCUGGUGCUCCUGGUGUCUUUGGCAGGUGGUGCUGGCAUGUCUGACAGGUGGUUCCAGCACGCCCAGCAGGUGAUUCCAGUGUGUCUGCCAAGUGGUUCUGGCAUAGCCAGCAGGAGAUUUUGCGUGUCCAGCUGUGGUUCCGGCCAGUCGAGCAGGUGGUUCCGGCAUUUCCGGCAGGUGGUUCCGGUCGGUCUGGGAGGUGGUUCCGGGGUGUCCGGCACGUGCAUCUGGCACAUCUGAGAGGUGGUUCCAGCAUGCCGAGCAGGUGAUUCCAGAUUGUCCACAAAUGGUUCUGGCGUAACCGGCAGGUGAUUUUGCAUGUCUGGCAGGUGGUGCUGGCGAGUCAAGCAGGUAGUUUGGGCAAGCUCUGCAGGUGCUUCUGGCGUCUCCAGCAUGUGGUUCUGGUACGUCUGAGAAGUGGUUCUGGCAUGCCCAGCACGUGAUUCUGGAUUGUCCAUUAAGUGGUUCUGGCAUAGCCGGCAGGUAUUUUGGCGUGUAAGGCAGGUGGGUCCUGCAAGUCAACAGGUGGUUUCGGCAUGCUCGGCAGCUGGUUCAGGCGCGUCCGGCAGGUGGUUCUGUUCUGUCCUGUAGGUGGUUCCGGCGUGUCCAGCACGUGGGUCUGGCAUGUCUGAGAGGUGGUUCCCGCAUGCCUGACAGGUGAUUCCGGAGUGUGCGCUAAGUGGUUCUGGCGUAGCCAACAGGUGAUUUUGGGGUGUCCGGCAGGUGGUUCUGUGGAGUGCAUCAGGUACUUCCAGCAUUCUCGGCAGGUGCUUCCAGCGACUCCAGCACGUGUUUCUAGCACGUCUGAGAGAUGGUUCCGGCAUGCCCAGCAAGUGAUUCUGGAGUGUCCGGCAAGUGGUUCUGGCACAGCCGGCAUGUGAUUUUGGCAUGUCCGGUAAGUGGGUCCUGCGAGUUGAGCAGGUGGUGCCUGCAUGCUCGACAGAUGGUUCAGGCGUGUCCGGCAGGUGCUUCCAGUCUGUCCAGGACGUAGUUCCGGUGUGUCUGGCACGUGGUUCUGGUAAGUCUCAGAGGUGGUUCCGGCAUGCCCGGCAGGUGAUCCAGGAGACUGCUCUAAGUGAUUCUGGCAUAGCCGGCAGGUAAUUUUGGCAUGUCCGGUAUGAGGUUGCGGCGGGCUCUGCAGGUGGUUCAGGCAGGUCCGGCCGGUGGUUCCGUUCUGUCUGGGAGGUGGUUCCGGCGUGUCCGGCACUGGGUUCCGGCACGUCUGAGAGGUGGUUCCAGCAUGCCCGCCAGGUGAUUCCGGAUUGUCCACCAAGUGGUUCUGGCGUAGCCGGCAGGUGAUUUUGGCGUGUCCCACAGGUGGUUCCGACGAUUCGAGCAGGUGCUUCCGGCUAGCUCGGCAGGUGCUUCUGGCAUCUCCGGCACUUGAUUUUGGCACAUUUGAGAGGUGGGUCCGGCAUUCCCAGCAGGUGAUUCCGGAAAGUCCGGCAAGUGGUUCUGGCAUAGCCAGCAGGUGAUUUUUGUGUGUCCGGCAGGUGGUUCCUGCAUGCUCGGCAGGUGGUUCAGGCGUAUCAGGCAUGUGGUUCGGGCACAUCUGAGAGGUGGUUCCGGCAUGCCUGACAGGUGAUUCUGGAGUGUCUGCUGAGUGGUUGUGGCAUAGCCGGCAGGUGAUUUUGGCGUGUCCAGCAGGUUUUUCUGGGGAGUGGAUCAGGUGGUACCGGCAUACUCGGCAGCUGGUUCUGGUGUGUCCGGCCCAUGGUUCUGGCACGUCCAAGAGGUCUUUCCGGCAUGAGCAGCAGGUGAUCCCAGAGAGUUCUCCAAGUGGUUCUGCCGUAGCCCGCAGGUGUUUUUGGUGUGUCCGGCAGGUGGUUCUGGCGAGUCGAGCAGGUGGUUCCUGGUGUGCUCGGAAGGUGGUUCAGGCAGGUGCGGCAGGUGUUUCCAGUCCGUCCAUGACGUGGUUCUGGCAUGCCCGGAAGUUGAUUCUGGACUGUCCACCAAGUGGUUUUGGCAUAGCCGGCACGUGAUUUUGGCGUGUCAGGAAGGUGGUUCCGGCGUGUCCAGCAGGUGGUUCCAGCGAGCUCGGCAGUUGCUUCCGGUCUCUCCGGCACGUGGUUGUGUCACGUCUGAGAGGUGGUUCCGGCAUGCCCGGCAGGUGAUUCCAGCGUCUGCGGCAUGAGGUUCUGGCACAUCUGAGAGGUGGUUCCGGCAUGCCCUGCAGAUGAUUCCGGAGUGUCCGGCAAGUGGUUCUGGCAUAGCCAGCAUGUGAUUUCGGCAUUUCCCACAGGUGAUUCUGACGAUUCGAGGAGGUGCUUCCAGCUAGCUCGGCAGGUGCUUCUGGCGUCUCCGGCACUUGAUUUUGGCACAUUUGAGAGGUGGGUCCGGCCUUCCCGGCAGGUGAUUCUGGAAAGUCCGGCAAGUCUUUCUGGCAUAGCCAGCCGCUGAUUUUUGCAUGUCCGGCAGGUGGGUCCUGUGAUUCGAGCCGGAGGUUCCUGCAUGCUAGGCAGGUGGUUCAGAUGUCCGGCAGGUGGUUCCGUUGUGUCCAGUAGGUGGUUCCAGCGUGUCCGGCACGUGGUUCUGGCACGUCUGAGAGGUGGUUCCGGCAUGUCCGACAGGUGAUUCUGGAGUGUCUGCCGAGGGGUUGUGGCGUAGCCGGCAGGUGAUUUUGGCGUGUCCAGCAUGUGGCUCUGGGGAGUGGAUCAGGUGGUUCUGGCAUACUUGACAGGUGGUUCCGGCGUGUCCGGCACAUGUUACUGGCACAUCUGAGAGGUGGUUCCGGCAUGCCUGGCAGGUGAUCCAGGAGAGUCCUCCAAGUGGUUCUGGAGUUGCCCGCAGGUGUUUUUGCUGAGUCCGGCAGGUGGUUCAGGUGAGUCGAGCAGGUGGUUCCAGCGUUCUCGGCAAGUGAUUCCGGUGUGUCCGGCAGGUGGUUCUGGUCUGUCCGGUAGUCGGUUCCGGCAUGUGCCACUCGUGGUUCUGGCACGUCUGACAGUCGGUUCUGUCAUGUCCGGCAGGUGAUUCCGGAUUGUACACCAAGUGGUUCUGGCAUAGCCCACAGGUGAUUUUGGCAUGUCCAGCAGGUGGUACUGGGGAGUGGAUCAGGUGGUUCUGGCAUACUCGGCAGGUGGUUCCGGCGUGUCCGGCACAUGGUUCUGGCACAUCUGAGAUGUGGUUCCGGCAUGCCCUACUGGUGAUUCCGGAGUGUCCGGCAAGUGGUUCUGGCACAGCCGGCUUGUGAUUUUGGCGUGUCCAGAAGGUGGCUCCAGUUAUUCGAGCAGAUUGUUCCGGCGUGCUCAGCAGGUGGUUCAGGCAGGUCCGGCAGGUGGUUCUGGCCUGUCCAGUAUGUGGUUCCGGAGUGUCCGGCACGUGUUUCCGGCACGUCUGAGAGGUGGUUCCGGCAUGCCUGACAGGUGAUUCCGGAGUGUCCCACAAGUGUUUCUGGCAUAACCGGCAGGUGACUUUGAAGUGUCCGGCAGAUGAUUUUGACGUUUCCAUUAGGUGGUUCAGGCAAGUCGAGCUGGAGGUUCCGGCGUGCUCGGCAGGUGCAUCCGGUGUCUCUGGCACGUGGUUCUGGCACGUCUGAGAGGUGGUUCCAGCAUGCCUGGCAGGUGAUUUUUGAGGGCCCGCCAAGUGGUUCAGGCGUAGCCACCAGGUGAUUUUGCCGUGUCCGGCAUGUGGUUCCGGCGACUGGAGCAGGUUGUUCCAGCGUGCUCGGCAGGUGGUUCAGGUGGGUCCGGCAGGUGGUUCUGGUCUGUCCUGGAGGUGGUUCCGGCAUGUCCAGCACGUGAUUCUGGCACGUCUGAUAGGUGGUUCCGGCAUGCCUGACAGGUGAUUCCAGAGUGUGCGGCAAGUGGUUCUGGCGUAGCCGGCAGGUGAUUUUGGCAUGUCCGGCAGGUGAUUUCAGCGUUUCCUGCAGGUGAUUUUGACGUGUCCGGCAGGUGUUUCUGGCGAGCUGUUCAGGUGGUUCUGGUGUUCUCGGCAGGUGAUUCCAGCAUGUCCGGCAGGUGAUUCCGGAUUGUCCACCAAGUGGUUCUGGCGUAGCCGGCAGGUGAUUUUGGCAUGUCCCACAGGUGGUUCCGACGAUUCGAGCAGGUGCUUCCGGCUAGCUCGGCAGGUGCUUCUGGUGUCUCCGGCACUUGAUUUUGCCACAUUUGAGAGGUGGGUCCGGCAUUCCCAGCAGGUGAUUCCGGAAAGUCAGGCAAGUGGUUCUGGCACAGCCAGCAGGUGAUUUUCGCGUGUCCGGCAGGUGGGUCCUGCGAGUCGAGCAGGUGGUUCCUGCAUGCUCGGCAUGUGGUUCCGGCAUGUCCGGCAUGUGGUUCUGGCACGUCUGAGAGGUGGUUCCGACAUGCCUGGCAGGUGAUUCCGGAGUGUCUGCCGAGUGGUUCUGGCGUAGCCAGCAGGUGAUUUUGGCAUGUCCAGCCGGUGGUUCUGGUGAGUGGAUCAGUUGGUUCCGGCAUACUCGGCAGGUGGUUCUGGUGUGUCCGGCACAUGGUUCUGGCACGUCUGAGAGGUGGUUCCGGCAUGCACGGCACGUGAUCCCGGAGAGUCCUCCAAGUGGUUCUCGUGUAGCCCGCAGGUAUUUUUGGUGUGUCCGGCAGGUGGUUCUGGCGAGUCGAGCAGGCAGUUCCAGCAUGCUCGGCAGGUGGUUCAGGCAGGUCCGGCAGGUGUUUUCAGUCUGUCCAUUACGUGGUUCCGGCAUGCCCGGAAGGUCAUUCUAGAGUUCCAGGAAGUGGUUUUGACGUAGCCGGCACGCGAUUUUGGCGUGUCAGGCAGGUGGUUCUGGCGUGUCCAGCAGGUGGUUCCGGUGAGCUCGGCAGGUGCUUCCGGUCUCUCCAGCUCAUGGUUGUGGCAUGUCUGAGAGGUGGUUCCGGCAUGCCCGGCAAGUUCAUCCGGUGUCUCUGCAACGUGGUUAUGGCACGUCUGAGAGGUGUUUCCAGCAUGCCUCACACGUGAUUCCGGAGUCUCCGGCAAGUGGUUCUGGCAUAGCCGGCAGGUGAUUUUAGUGUGUCCGGCAUGUGGUUCUGGCGACUCGAGCAGGUCGUUCCAGCAUGCUCGGCAGGUGGUUCAGGGGGUCCAGAAGCUGGUUCUGGUGUGUCCUUGAGGUGGUUCCGGCCUGUCCUGCACGUGGUCCUUGAAUGUCUGAGAGGUGGUUGCAGCAUGCCCGACAGGUGAUUCUGGAGUGUCCGGCAAGUGGUUCUGGCGUAGCCGGCAGGUGAUUUUGAUGUGUCUGGCAGGUGUUUCUGGCACAUCUGAGAU